AACGAACGCUGGCGGCAGGCUUAACACAUGCAAGUCGAACGAUGUAGCAAUACAUAGUGGCGCACGGGUGAGUAACGCGUGGGAACGUGCCUUUUAGUUUGGAAUAACACCGGGAAACUGGUGCUAACGCCAAAUACGCCCUUCGGGGGAAAGAUUUAUCGCUAAAAGAUCGGCCCGCGUCAGAUUAGCUAGUUGGUGGGGUAAUGGCCUACCAAGGCUCCGAUCUGUAGCUGUUCUGAGAGGAAGAUCAGCCACACUGGAACUGAGACACGGUCCAGACUCCUACGGGAGGCAGCAGUGGGGAAUAUUGGACAAUGGGGGAAACCCUGAUCCAGCCAUGCCGCGUGAGUGAUGAAGGCCUUAGGGUUGUAAAGCUCUUUUACCAGGGAAGAUGAUGACGGUACCUGGAGAAUAAGCACCGGCUAACUACGUGCCAGCAGCCGCGGUAA
rnacentral:rRNA from 1 species